CGUCGUGCGUCGUGCAGGUCGUGUCCUCGAAAGCCCCUCGCUCGCACCGUCGCACGCCGCAACCCUCCCUCCCUCCUCGAUCUCUGUCCCUCAGCCGCCACCGCACAAAGCCACCUCUCCCUUGCGUGUGCGUGCUCAUCGCCGCCUUUCCUCCCCGCUCCCUAUCAUUGCCCCGACGCCUGCACCGGCUACCAUGGAUCCAUGGCCGAUGGGAUAGUACAGGGCAGGGAAGGACACCGCCAUCGACCCGUCACUUAGAUUGGUGGCACAUGGGUCGGGUCUAGGCAGAAGGCCGGCGCCUGCGGGGGGGAAGCAGCGGGAGAUUGUGCAGCAGCAAAUGAUGCCGAGGUCGGCCGUGGAGGGAGGCUUGCCGGCCGGAGCAGCCGGAGCAAGGAGGCAGGGUCGGCCAUGGAGGAAGGCCCACUGGCCGGAGCAGCAGGAGCAACUGCAGACGCUGGUCAGCCCGACGCACCGCCUCAGCCCCGCCUCCUCUGCUGCAGCCCCCACGGCCGAGAGGGGCAGCUGCGCCAUAGCUGGCGACGAGUUUAGCGGCCGCCGCCUCCUCUCCUCUUCGAAUCCAGUGCCUAUGGGUUCUCCUCGGUUGGAUUGUUCAUCCUUCUUCGCCGGUGGUGUGCUUGUCUGUUGCAAUAACUUACGUGCGCUGGAUGAACACUAUCGGUUGAGGUUUGUUUCUUCUCGUUGUCUCCUGCGUCCACCGUCGCAUCGUUCUGCCAUUGCCAUUGAGUCCUUUGUCUAGCCUGCUUUCUUGGUAUGGUUCUGCUUUCUAGCUCUGCAGGUUCGACGAUCUGCUAGGUUGCUGCAUCUGCAACUCUGUGCUGCUAUUCAAGGAAGAUGCUAAAUAAGUUGGUUAGCUCUGGGGCAAAAGGUCAGCAAAUCUGCUUGGUUGUUCCUCCCAAGGUGAUGAGAGAUUUUUUGUUGCAGAGUACAUGCCUAGAAAGACAUAUCUUCCACUGUAUGUUAACUGCUUGUGAGCAGGCCAGUACUUUACAAAUUUUACUACAGUAGCAAGGACGCUAUGCUUUGAAUAGUUGAGACGCCCUCUGUUUUUCAUCCAUGGGCAGAGUAGAUGGAGGUGCAGCGGCUCAGGAUGUCAAGAUACAUUUAUCUUCCUGUGCGUAACUGAUGUCUAGCAUUGCUGAAAACACCUUUAUCAUAGCUGGUGUCCAUGCCUUCAUCAUAGCUGGUGUCCGCAUACUUCAUCAGAGAUCUUGUCCACGGCUUCAGCGGAGUUGCUGUCCACACUUCCAUCAGAGCUAAUGUUCACGGGAUCAUCCAUGCGAGCAAUGGCGGAGCUACGUGUUAUAAAAAGAGGCCACGGCGUCUCGCCGGUAGCAAAUGAAGUGGAGGAUUGAGAGUAGGCUGAGCUGUGAGAGAGAAAAAUAAUGGAUUCCUUUCUACUGGCACGCCCACCUUUGUACUGGCACGCCCACCUUUGACAGUGUAGCUCCGCCACUGCAUGCGAGCUCCCCUCAUGCUCAGCUGUGGUGGAAGCCUAAAACAACAUAGAUUAUCAAUCAACACAGACUAAUCAAGUCACAUUACUGUGACGAUGUGUAAAUCUGCCAAAGGUUUUGAAUGGGACUUUACACCACCAAAUUAGAAUGUGUACAAGACCCCAUUUUUUCGACUAAAGGAGAUUAUGUUUAUUAUAAUAUGUACUUGCCCA